rnacentral:rRNA from 1 species
GGUUUAAUUGAUGCAACGCGAAAAACCUUACCUACCCUUGACAUGGCAGGAAUCCUGAAGAGAUUUGGGAGUGCUCGCAAGAGAACCUGCACACAGGUGCUGCAUGGCCGUCGUCAGCUCGUGUCGUGAGAUGUUGGGUUAAGUCCCGCAACGAGCGCAACCCUUGUCAUUAGUUGCUACGAAAGGGCACUCUAAUGAGACUGCCGGUGACAAACCGGAGGAAGGUGGGGAUGACGUCAGGUCCUCAUGGCCCUUAUGGGUAGGGCUACACACGUCAUACAAUGGCCGGGACAGAGGGCUGCCAACCCGCGAGGGGGAGCCAAUCCCAGAAACCCGGUCGUAGUCCGGAUCGUAGUCUGCAACUCGACUGCGUGAAGUCGGAAUCGCUAGUAAUCGCGGAUCAGCUUGCCGCGGUGAAUACGUUCCCGGGUCUUGUACACACCGCCCGUCACACCAUGGGAGCGGGUUCUGCCAGAAGUAGUUAGCCUAACCGCAAGGAGGGCGAUUACCACGGCAGGGUUCGUGACUGGGGUGAAGUCGUAACAAGGUAACCA